CUUUUCUCACACUGUUCCUGUGGACUCUGAGGUAUAGAACAUGGUGCCUGUCUUCUCUGAUGAAUGUUGGACAUGUGAAGAACUGGUCUCAUGUCUUCCUUCAUUGAUGGGAAGGCCUUAGGCUUGCCUGAACCCCAGGGGCUGCCCUGCCUGCUGCUCUCCUGUCCUAUGGGUUCCUCACUUCACAGCAUCCCUGGACAGUCAUGUGGUGAGGGACUGUUAUCACUGAAGACAUAUCAAUUUCCUGAGAUUGCCGAUGGGCAGGGGACUGACAGGAGUCAGAAACAUCACAUAGGUCAGGAGGCAAUAGGUGUGAGAUCAAGGUUUGGCCAGACUGUGCUCCCAUGAAGGCUUUCGGGACUCUUCCUUCCUUGAUCUAGUGAUGGAUGGCACCCUUGUUGGUUGUGUCACCUAACUUCAUGUAGCCUCCUCUCUCUAUGUGUCUCUAAGGACACACAUUGGGCUUUUGGCUACCUGCCAUCUUGAGAUCUUUAAGCUAAGUAAAUAAGCAGAUAGUCCUAUCUUUUGAGUGGUCACCAGUCAGCUACAGAUGGGGUGGUGUCUUGGUAGUGAUCAGAGUAAUUUUCUGUCCACCCAAGAUCAGCUGACGUAUACGUCUUGGGGUGGAUACAGGGCUGAUUGUAUCACCUGCCUGGGGCCACUUAUCCCUAAAGCCUGAUAGGAAGCUGCUGUAAGUGUGGGGAAGGCAGACAGGGCUGCACCAGAGAGCACCAGUCAUUGGGGAACAGGUUCUGGUCAGGUGAGAACUUGAGUGUUCAAGCUUGACUUCGUUUAUCUAAGUAGGCACAUCUUGCUUCUCUCCACAGUUUCACAGUCUCUGGUGACAAGCUAGGGAGGCAUGCCUGGGAAGCCUCAUCCUCUGAUUCACAUAACUUACAUUAUAGUUCCUCUUUUUUGUGUUCCCAGGGGGAGGAAAUUGGCUGUGGGACGCCACCAAAAAUAAACACACAAGCACACAGCAAGCCCAUACGAAAAAUCCUGUUUGCACAAGAGAAGGAGCUCAUGCCCCAAAUUUGGCUUCCCCAUCAUGGCAAUGGCUUUGGAUCCAGCCUCUGUGGCAGGGGAAGCUUCCUUCUAGAAGGAUUUCAAAGUUCCUGCCUUUUAAAAAACACAUUUAAAGAGAUACUCAGCCCUGAGAGCUCCCUAAAAUCUUGUCUUUUCUCUCUCUCUACCUCCCCUUUUCUAUUCCUCCUCCCCUUCUUCUCUUCCUCAUGGCCCAUUGGCUUACCUAAGUAGCUUUCUUUUACACACCAAGGGGAACCCCUUGCAGCAGGUGCACUGUCUCUUUAAGGGUAGCAGUGGUAUUAGCUCUGCUCAGCACAGGACACAGGAGCAAAAGGUCAAGGUUGUCAGGAGGAAGACAGGGACCUAGAUAACUCCAAGGAAGCAGGGUGAGCAGUAGGGUUGAGGGUAAAGCCACCCAGCACCGAGCUGAUGGUCUGAACCUUGGAUCUUUCUGAUGUGUCCCAGAGAAGGGACAACAAGUAAAGAGGGGUGCAGAGGGUGGCUUUUGCAGCCCUUAAGGAGCUGGCUGCUUGCAGUGCCUGCUGAGCUGGUGUGGGCAUGAGGCCAGGGGUGAGUUUUUCUCUUUGCCUGAGCUGCUCAGUGACAGUGUUGGCCUCCAACAGCGAAGACUAAGAUUAAGCUUCAGAACACACAGAAGUGUCUAUACACAGGAGGCAUGCUCCAAGGCCCCUCAGUGGAUGCCUGAAGUCAUAGAUCACACUGCAUCACAUACCUAUGGAGUCACACACACCAAAGAUACUGCCUAAUUUUUAAGUCUAGCACAAUGUGAGGUUAAUACUAAUUCACCACGCAUCUGAGCAGACUCAACACUUACAUUUUUAAUAAGGAAAAUCUCUGUGCAGGUGAGUUUUUAUCAUCAACCUUAUACAUCUUAGAAUCAACUUGAGGAAUUAUUUCUAUCAGGCUGAACUGUGGGUGUGCCUGAUAGGUGACUGUCUUGAUAGUUCAGGUGGGUGGACUCAUCCUGAUUGUGGGUGGUACCAUUUCUUGGGCUGGGCCUUGGCUUGUGAAGAAGGUCAGCUGCAAUCAAUCAAUCAAUCAGUCAAUCAAUCAAUCAAUCUCUGUCUGUACCUUCCAGGUGCUGGGAGUGCAGGAGUGUGCCCCAUGUCCAGUUUACAUGGUACUGGGAGUUGAACCUUCCAUGAGCCUCAUGAACUCUAGCCAGACAGCACCAGCUGAGCCACAUCCCUACCUCUUGGUGCAAUCAUUAUUAAUAAUGCAAAGAUUCCAGGCUGCAGACCUGACGAAGGAAGAGAACUCCUUGAACCUGGUGGGAGAACCAGCAGUCUUUCCUCAAGGUUGACUAUUCCUGGUCCCCUUAAGAAUGCUGAAGUCUACAGAUGUCCAAGCUCCUAAUCAUGUAAACUGGUGAGUACUUUCAUAUAAGUGGUGCGCCUAUUCCCGCACACUUCACAUUAUAGAUUACUUAUAAUAGCCAAUGCAAGGCAGAUCCAUGUAAACAGUUACAUGGCAUUGUUUCGGGAUGACCAGAGGAAAGGUCUGUGGUGUUCAGCUCAGGUCCAUUUCUCUUUCAUUUUCCACAUGGGGUUGGUUGAAAUGUGGAUGUGACUGUCAAGGCAGACCCAUCCCCUUGGUGUUUAAACCCAGAGGAGCUCAAGGGUGGCCUUCCAGAAGACCUCAGUGGAAUGUCCUAUUUGCCUGGAGACGAAUAAGCACUGUGUGGCUAGCUCCUGCAGUUAGUAUCUGUCUGCAGUGGGCGGUGCUAGGGAAAAAGGAGCUUUCCUUGAGAGAGCUGGAGAUGUCUGAACUUGCCAGAGGCCUGAGAAUGUCUUCCUGAGGUCUAGGUCUGUGCCACAUCCCUGGCACUACUGCAGUUGGGUUGGGGAUGUGAGUUAAAGACUGUACAGCGUUCUUCCUCUUCCAGUUAAGAGAACUGACACUGGCAGAAAGGGGUCAAAGUGAUGUGUCCCUGGGCAAGACUUUACUUUCCAAUCUCUAGCCAAGCAGCCUAAGGCAGUGCCUUUGAGGAGGAAGGAAAGAGAUGGGGGGUUAUGUGUGGGGCUGACAGUGCAGAUUUGCCAGAUGAGAGAGCUGUUAGCCCAGCUAUGGGUCAGAAAACAGGUCCCUGGGAUUUUCAGGCCCUGUGGGUGUAUGACAGGACCUUUAAGAAUAGCUACUAGGGCUUUAUUCACUGGCUUAACGAACGUGAUGUCCCCCAACAUUUGGACUGUAAUGACCCCAAAUCACUCUCUUAUCUGAGUGCUAAGAUGAUGUGGGGCCAAUGUGGUUAGUGAGUUUGGUGUGUCACAAAACUGGGUCUUAAAGAUUUGCUCUCUGCAGCCUGCACGGCUCCUGGGAGCUUCUGGGGAAGGUAGGAAGCAUAGACAUACAGGGAUGAGUAUCACAGAAAAUGACUUCUGAAGGGCUCCCCCAGGUGUCUUGUUCUACUCUGAUUCACCACUUGGCCUCUGGCUUGGACAAGCCCCAGGAACAGCCCGAGCCUGGUGAUCAAGAGUCACAGUCCCUACUUUAGCUUUGCUCAGUUUUUGGCAUGAAUUAAACCCCAAUAACAGCAGCAGGGUGAGGUGGGACAUAGUCAGAGCCACUUGGCAGGGGUAGAAUGGCUGGUCUUUGGUUCUGGCAGGACUUUGUGCUUUGGGGCCAUUGCUACUAAGUACAUACAACAGAGUAGGCAAUCAGAUGACCGAAUGGCCACGUGACUGCCAGGUGGGUCAGACACACAGAUUGAUUCAUAGAAUGAAGAAUGCUGUGGAUCCUAAAAGUGAGAGAUCAAAUUGCACCUCCACAAAUGCCAUGCGGUUAGAACCUUAAGAGGCGAUUUUUGAACGUUAUUGUUGAGUGUUUGACUCUCAGCUGAGCAUUGGUAACUGAAGCCAAGGGGAGAAAAACCAAGCUCCUGGCCGUGGCCUUGAGACACCUGUUACACUCCACCUUUGCUUCUAGUGUUAAAAAAAAAGUCAGCGGGAAGGUAGAACUGUCGUUGGCGCAUGCUCUGUGUGAACAACAGGAGCCGAGUCACACUAACCCCAUUUAAGUCCACCAGCUGACUUAUUUAAGGGUUCCAUGUGGGGCUGGAGA
rnacentral:sRNA from 1 species